UACAGAGGUCUCAAGCGUUGUUCGGAUUCAUUGGGCGUAAAGGGCGUGUAGGCGGUCAGGUAAGUGAGAUGUGAAAUGGCCCCGGCUCACCCGGGGACCGGCAUCUCAUACUGCUUGGCUUGAGUACGGGAGAGGAUGUGGGAAUUCCUGGUGUAGCGGUGAAAUGCGUAGAUAUCAGGAGGAACACCGGUGGCGAAGGCGCACAUCUGGCCCGAUACUGACGCUGAGGCGCGAAAGCUAGGGGAGCAAACGGG
rnacentral:rRNA from 1 species